rnacentral:tRNA from 1 species
UCCCUGGUGGUCUAGUGGCUAAGACUCCAUGCUCCCAAUGCAGGGGGCCCAGGUUCAAUCCCUGAUUAGGGAA